CCUCUCACUGUUGUGGCUUCUCCUGUUGCGGAGCACAGGCUCCAGACGCGCAGGCUCAGCGGCCAUGGCUCACGGGCCCAGCCGCUCCGCGGCAUGUGGGAUCUUCCCGGACCGGGGCACAAACCCCUGUGCCCUGCAUCGGCAGGCGGACUCGCAACCACUGCGCCACCAGGGAAGCCCACUCUGACUGCUUUUGAGAUUAUACAUAUGCUUUGAUUUUCUGUAAUUUCACUAUAAUUUGCUUAGAUGAGGACUUCUUUAUAUGAAUCAUGCUUGAAGUUUGUGGAAAUUUUUGAACCUCUGUGUCUUUCACCAGAUUUUGAAAAUUCUUGGUCAUUAUUUCUUCAAGGAUUGCUCUGUCCCAUUCUCCCUUCUCCUUGUGGACUCCAGUUACAUGCAUCUUGACUUCUCAAGCAUGAUGCAUUUGACUUGUUCCCUCUGCCCCCGACCCUGGCAUUUUUCCAGUGUGUGCAUAGGUUUGUAUAUCUUCUUUUGACCUUUCUUCACUUGUCCUGUCUUCUGCCAUUCCCAGUCUGCUAUUAGAUCAAUCCAGUAAGCUUCUAACUCCAGAUGCUACAUUCUUUAGUUCUAGAAUAUCCACUUGAUUUUUUAUUGAUUCCAGUUCUUUGUUGAAAUUCUCCUCCUUUUCAUCUGAUUUAUCCUCCUUUUCUCUGUUUUCUUUAACAUAUUUAUUAAAGUUAUAUUAAGUACUAGUCUGUAAACUCCAGCAUCUAGAGCAUCUCUUGGAUUGCUUUUUCUCUCAUAACAAACACAAAAAUGGUACUUAGGUGAGGUUAAGGAUAUGCUAACUAACCUUAUUAUGGUAAAUAUUUCACAUCAUAUACAUUAUAAAUCAUCACAUUGUACACCUUAAACUUACACAAUUAUAUGUCAAUUGUAUCUCAAUAAAGCUGGGAAAAUUAUCUUAAUAAAGAUCACCUUAAUAACAGCUUAAGAGCUUAUGUCAAUGAAACUCCAAAGCUUUGUAAUCAGAUGUACAAUGAAAGUUGAGUAGAGAGGCGUGUUUUUUCUCUGGAAGGGAAGAAUGAAUAUUAUGAAGAAGUCAGUUCUUCCCAAACCAAAUUGUACUUUUUGUGCAACUCCAAUCAAAAUUGUACUGAGCAUGUUGGUAUUUCAAAAUUAUUUGACUUAAUAUGGAAAUCUAAUUAUGUGAAUCUAGUUUUAAUAUUUUUAAAAAGAAUAAUGAGGGGAUAAUAACAGUAAUCCCCACUAGAUAUUUUUGAAGGGAUGGAGCUUUUAUAAAAACCAAACUUGCGUUGUGUUUGCACAGCUCUUCCCAGAGUCUGAUGCUCUGAGGUUCUACUUCACCCUCUUCUUGUGCUGAGACACCAGUCAAGACCCUGGUUCUCGGUCCAUCUCUGGGUGGCUGCUGGACGAGAGGUGAGGAGACAGAAGUAACCCUGAGUCUCCCUCACUUGCAGAUAAGCCAGCUUUUCUGUUUGUCUCCACACAGCGCCCCAGAUUCCCUGCUGCAGUUCUGGAAACUCCCAACCUAAUCUGCCUGAUUAGUUUUCCACCUGGACCUGCCCCAGCGUAUACCUCAGAGCCAUGCAGGUGCCACGGUGUGUAUGAUGUUCCUAAAUGUUUAUGCUAAAGGCUGCCUGGGUGACUCUCCCAGAUACAAUGAACCACACCCAGGAGAAUCUGUGUUGCUACUUCCAGAUACCCAGUACCCGGCCAUCUUUCCUAGAAAGUCAAAAUAUGCGCAGAUAUUCUGGUUGUGUGUCCACUGCUUACUCUCCCCUUCAUCCCUAACUUACAGAAUCUCUACACUGAUGUCCAUAGUGUCCAGAUACAAAAAACUACACUUCUCUACCUCUCUUGUUCCUACAGGCAGUCAAUGGGAUUCAAGGGCUUGUUGGACUUUAGAAAAGCUCAGUAAAGGGGUAUUGACCUAGGAAGACCUUUGCUCACACUUUUCCCUUCUUCCCACCUAAAAUGCAGCCUUGCUGCUCAGAAUACCAUCAGCCACCUGAGAUCAGAGUGCCUUGCAGGAAACAGCAGCACUAACGAUGAAAUAAGAUAGAAAGGCAUCCUUUCUGAUGACUCCUUGGAGCCAUAUAGCAGCCAUGGGACACCUACCUCUGACUUCAUUGUACAGGAGUGAAGACAGUCUGCUUUCUGGUCUACAUUGCUAUAAUUUUGAGUUUCUGCUGUAGUGGUAGAACAAUUUCUAACACACAUGCACCCAUACCAAACACAAGGUAAGAUGCAACUAAAAAAAAAUAGAUUGGGAAAUCUCGUGUGUAUGGAAGGCUAGUUGUUCCCUGUGGAAGGGGUAUGAGGAUCCCAGAGUACAGACCCCUGGAGAAAGGAAGGGCUCAGUGAGCUGCUCUUACUUAAGACAGAAGUCUCUGAAAGCGGAUUCAGGGUCCCACCUUCUGCUAAGCCUCCCCUACCACCGAACACCUAGGUCCCCUGCUUGGUGAGCUAAUUUUUUUUUUUUUUUUUUACUGUUUUUUGGGGGCGGUUGGUUAGAGGGUUGUUUUGCUUUGUUUGCUGACAUGUAAACACUAAGGACAAGGGAAAACCUCUUGACAAAUCAAGAAACCUCGAAGCUGUGAAAACAAAGACAUAAUUUAUUACAUAAAGACUAAAAAUGUUUCUAUAACCAAAGAUAUUAUAAAGUCAAUAAAAUCUGAUACAUUAAAUAUUUUCAUAAAUACAGAUCAAAGUUAAUGUAGCAAGUUCUGUAAAGUUUAAAAGAAAAAUUUUAAAUAAUAUAAUAAAUUUUGUAGAAAUGGCCAAUAAACACGUUUUUAAAAGAUCAAAAUUACUACUGGCCAGGGACUGGAAAAUGAAUAGGGAGACUGGCAGAAACAGUGAAGAGCAUAAACAAAAGAAAGUGAUUCAGGGCAGAGGGUGAUUUAGAACAGAGGCAAGGACAGCGGCUCAGGGCAGUCAGACAAAGGCUAUCGUUUCUGGUCAGCAGCUGUGCGGUGAAGAAGGGACCAGACCUCUUAAGUAGAGCCCCACCCUGGUCAGAACCUCUCUGCCGAGUCUACCAUCCUCACAUAGACGGCCUACCUGACUCUGAAGAGCCUUAGUCCUUCCCCCAUGAUGCCCUGCGGCCCUCGCCUUCCCCUGGGACCCCCUGGACCCCUGACCAUCCUGGAGCAAGUGCUUCUCAGCCCUGAUGUCCCUGGAGACUGAGCUGAGAGGACACAUAUAGAAGGACGGGAGCCCCAUUCCUCCCUAGAGCUGCCCAUCUGUUUUUCUUAUUUUCUCAGUUUCACAUUAGUGUUUUUUCUGAUAAGUAUCCCCACACUCAUCACUCCUCCAGGCGACAGGACCGGGUCCUGAGGCAGCAGAUCAAACACUGGGGAGAGGGACCGUGUAUCGGAUGCAGUCCUGUCCCUGCAUCAUGAACAGCAGGCUUGUGAGGCCCUGAACUCUGGGGGACGUUGGAGAUGACGAAAAAGAGGAGAAGGACCAAGAGGUUUUGCAGGGGGGAAAUCAGAGCUUCAUUCCAACGCGGAGAAGAGAGGGAAGGAGACUAAUAUCCAGGCUGAGCCUCUGGGCUGCCCGACCAAACACAAGGUUCACCCCAGGAAGGUCUAAGAAAAUACAUGGAUUAAAAAAUUAACAGGCUGAGCUUAUUCUCCUUCCAGAGGGGAGCUAGGAUUGCUCCAUCCUCACAAGCCAACACCAAGAUUCACAACCUCCUGCUGUGCACAUUCCCUCAGUACAAGCCUGCGCUCUCAGCUAGCCGUCCAGGACCACUAGGAGUGCGCUGGGAUGGGUUUAACCACCAGCGCAGCAGAAAAAAAAGGGCCUGGUUUGAAGCAUUAUCUAUUUCUACGGCGUAAAUAUUCCCAACUUGGCUAUUGUCCAACUGUGAGUGACUCUCCUGAGAACUCCUCCCACUUACCCUCUCAGGAAAAAAGUCAGGACUUCUGUCCUAUUGGCCCUGUAGAAAGAACCCCGACCUCAGCCUCAGAGUGAGUCUGGAGGAAUACCUGCAAACUCCUUGGCGCUUCAGUAGAAAUUGUUAAGGUGCCGUGGAGAGGGAGUAUAAUGGGGACUAACUUCCUGGUGCCCAAGAGGCAGAAGCUUCAAAGCUCAUGCUUGGAAACUGCCUCACCUCGCUGUUCCCUGAGUCUCAACGCAAUCUCCAUUCCAUCUUCUAAAGUCUGCUGAACACUUCUCAGGUGGGCAUGGAUCUUAGUUUGUUUCUGCCUCAUCUCCAUCCUUGUCCUGCUGUCCAUGGAUAUCUGUGAUAGUACAGGAGUCACUUUUGGAGGCCGUUCCUCUCAUCCGUUGUUAAGAGCUGAACUGUGAUGCCCAAAUUCAUAUGUUGACAUCCUAACCCCCAGUAUCCCAGAAUGUGACUAUUUGAAGAUGGAUCCUUUAAGAAAGCAAUUAAGGUAAAAUGAGGCCAUUAAAGUGGGUCCUAAUCCGAUAUGACUGGUGUCCAUAUACGAAGAAGAGAUUAGGACACAGACACACAGAGAGUGAUGACCAUGUGAAGACACAGGAGAAGGUGGCCAUCUCCAAGCCAAGGAGAGAGGCUGCAGAAGAAACCAACCCUGUAGACAACGUGAUCUUGGAUUUCUAGCCUCCAGAAUUGUGAGAUAAUAAACUUCUGCAUUUUAAACCACCCAGUCUGUGGUACAUUAUUAUGUCAGCCCUA